UUUUUCUCUCUUCUUUUUCUCUCUCCUUCUCUAAUUUUCUAUACGGCCAAAAGGGAAAAUGGUGAGAGAUUGAGGUGACAGUGGAGAGAGCGGAACACGGUAGCCAGCCAACAAAUCUGUAUAGAAACACACUAGCGACUGGCGUACGAAGAAGACAGAGGCGACCGGUGUACAAAGAAGACCGAGGCGACGGAAGAUUCAUCUGGUUCAAAGGUGUGCUUAAAGCGUUCAUCCUAAGUAGCAUUGUUGAAAGCGUUCAUCCUCAGACAUGAGCUUUCGCAUCAUUUAUUUUCUUUUCUUGGUAGCACUGUAUUAACUCAUAUUAUCUAUGAAUAAUAUUUGUUUGUUUUC